rnacentral:piRNA from 1 species
UGGCUGCUAGGGUGGAGACUUGA